rnacentral:rRNA from 1 species
UGAGGAAUAUUGGUCAAUGGACGGAAGUCUGAACCAGCCAAGUCGCGUGAAGGAAGACGGUUCUAUGGAUUGUAAACUUCUUUUGCCUGAGGGUAAAACGCGGUACGUGUACCGCCUUGUAAGUAUCAGGUGAAUAAGCAUCGGCUAACUCCGUGCCAGCAGCCGCGGUAAUACGGAGGAUGCGAGCGUUAUCCGGAUUCAUUGGGUUUAAAGGGUGCGUAGGCGGCUUGGUAAGUCAGCGGUGAAAUUCCAGUGCUCAACAUUGGCCGUGCCGUUGAUACUGCUGGGCUUGAAUGCGGAUGCCGUGGGAGGAAUGUGUGGUGUAGCGGUGAAAUGCAUAGAUAUCACACAGAACACCGAUUGCGAAGGCAUCUCACGAAUCCGCAAUUGACGCUGAGGCACGAAAGUGUGGGGAUCAAACAGGAUUAGAUACCCUGGGUAGU